GCAUAUUUAAAAUUUCGUUGAAGAGCCAUUUUGGUGCCAAACUCUUACGCGAGUUUGGAAUUGUUUUUAUUAUGUCAAAGUAGAAGUGUACUGAUUCUUUAUUUUGUUGGAAUCAUUGAAGAGGCAUUGUUUUUAUUUCGUUGUGAGGACAUCUCCAUUGCCAUCUGUGGUAACAAGGUUGAUGUAAAGAACAUGCAGCUUAAAGCCAAGCAGGUCACAUUCCACAGUAAGAAGAGCUCGCAGUACUAUGUAGCCUCUGCCAAGAGCAACCACAACUCUGAGAAGCCUUCCUUUUACCUUGCAAGGAAGUUAGCUAGGAGUCGUCUCCCUCCCUAUUAGAUUCUUUUGCAUAUUAAAUCUUACUUUUAUUUGAUGAUUCUUAGUAAGCCAUGGCUCUCAAGCCCUGGGCCGGAAGUGAUCUUCAACCUAUGUAAGCAAGAACAGUAUGUGACGUCCUAUUUUUUCUUCCAUUCGACUUCUUUUUACCGCAUUUGUUCUGUAGAUGCUCCUGUUAUGAGUGAAUGAAUGGAUCGUAGAUUGUUGUUUGUACAAUGUUUGCAGACACGAGGAUGUGCCUGCUGCCGUUGCCACUGCAUGUUGAUGACAAUAUAAUGAGUCUUAUACCAUACUUAUAUUGUUGUUUGUACAAUGUUUGCAGACACGGGGAUGUGCCUGCUGCCGUUGCCACUGCCUGUUGAAGAUGACAAUAUAAUGAGUCUUACCAUACUUUGACUUUGAGAGACAGAGACUGUUCUUUGUACAAGAGUCAGUUCGCUUUUAGAUUGAAAGGCUUGAUAGCCAGGAGAGAAUGUUUUCCUUUGUU